rnacentral:rRNA from 1 species
AAACUUAUUUAGUUUGGCGGCAUUAAAUCUAUUUAGAGGAAUUUGUUUAUUAAUCGAUAAUCCACGCUAAACUUCACUUUAAUUCAAAAUUUAUAUACCGCCAUCUUAAGAAUCAAUUAAAAAAUAUUUCUAAAAAAAAAAAUAAAAAAUUAGGUCAAGGUAUAAUCCAUAUCAAAGAAUAUAAUGAAUUACAUUAAAUAAAAUUUUAAGAUUAUAAAUAAAUAUAUUUUUACAAAUAAGAAUUUAAAAGUAAUAUUAUAAUAAUAAUAUAAUAUGAUAAAGAUAAUAAAUGUGCACACAUCGCCC